UACGAGGGGUGCAAGCGUUAUUCGGAAUCAUUGGGCGUAAAGGGUGUGCAGGCGGCAUGGUAAGUCAAUCGUCUAAUUUCCCGGCCUAACCGGGAGUCGGCGGUAGAUACUAUCAAGCUAGAGUGUGAGAGAGAGAAGUGGAAUUCUCGGAGUAGCGGUAAAAUGCGUAGAUCUCGAGAGGAACACCAAUGGCGAAGGCAGCUUCUUGGCUCAUCACUGACGCUGAGGCACGAAAGCGUGGGUAGCAAACAGG
rnacentral:misc_RNA from 1 species